rnacentral:rRNA from 1 species
UGGGGGACAACGUUUCGAAAGGAACGCUAAUACCGCAUACGUCCUACGGGAGAAAGCAGGGGACCUUCGGGCCUUGCGCUAUCAGAUGAGCCUAGGUCGGAUUAGCUAGUUGGUGAGGUAAUGGCUCACCAAGGCGACGAUCCGUAACUGGUCUGAGAGGAUGAUCAGUCACACUGGAACUGAGACACGGUCCAGACUCCUACGGGAGGCAGCAGUGGGGAAUAUUGGACAAUGGGCGAAAGCCUGAUCCAGCCAUGCCGCGUGUGUGAAGAAGGUCUUCGGAUUGUAAAGCACUUUAAGUUGGGAGGAAGGGCAUUAACCUAAUACGUUAGUGUUUUGACGUUACCAACAGAAUAAGCACCGGCUAACUCUGUGCCAGCAGCCGCGGUAAUACAGAGGGUGCAAGCGUUAAUCGGAAUUACUGGGCGUAAAGCGCGCGUAGGUGGUUCGUUAAGUUGGAUGUGAAAUCCCCGGGCUCAACCUGGGAACUGCAUCCAAAACUGGCGAGCUAGAGUAGGGCAGAGGGUGGUGGAAUUUCCUGUGUAGCGGUGAAAUGCGUA